rnacentral:tRNA from 3 species
CGGAGUGUAGCGCAGCCCGGUAGCGUACUUGCAUGGGGUGCAAGGGGUCGUGGGUUCGAAUCCCGCCACUCCGA